UAUGGGAGAAACCUCAAGUUCUUCGUCCGCACGUUUACCAUGGUCUUCCCCACCAGCUCCUCGGCCUCAACGCUGUCCCCAUUCCUUUCACCAGCUGUAAGCUUGCCCAAAACCAGGACUGAGGAUUAUCAAAAAUGAAUGAUAAAAUCGCCAACAGCCACGUUAAAUGCCACAUCAUUUGACCCUCUAAAUUCAGGAACUCUACCACAAUACGGGACUGUGUUCUGAAGUUUAGUCCAGACAAAAGCCAACAUUUCCUCACGUCCUCCUGAAUAUUGUUUGAAGAUCCUUUUUUGUUACUGAAUGUGAACUUGAGGCAGAGGAGGAGGAUACCUAGAGGAAGAGGCAGGAGUCUGAGAAGAGGAAAGCUUCCAUAAUUAAUAGAGGGGGAAUCAAGGGCUGAAGACAUGGCCUCAGUAGGUGACAAUGCUUCCUGCUCUUCCAAGGAACCUAAGUUCAGUUCCCAGAACCCACAUCAAGUGACUCACAGCCACUAGGGGGUCAGACACCAUCUUCUGGUCUCCACAAAAUCAUAUAGAGAUACACACAUAUACAUACAAUUAAAAUAAAAACCUUUUUGUGAAUGAAAAAACAUUUAGGCCUCAAAUAACACACUUACUCAGACUCUGGGCAAGACAUCAUUUUGUUGUGUUUGCUCAGAGUUGGUUUCAUAGCCUAAGAUAGCUACUUACUUUGUCUACGAACCAGAAAAUCUGGAGUUGAUGUCAAAGUCCACCUAUUCUGUAGCACCCUUCCCCCAUGGAGGUUUGCUGAUCAGCUUGGGACUAGGAGCUUCUAGCAAAACACCUCUUGUCCCCCUCUCCCGGUAAGGCCUGCAAGCAAGUUCCGGUUUUCUGUCCACCCUUAUGUCUAAAUGCUAAUUCCUGUUUUUGGCUCACCCUUUGCCAGAGGGCCCUGGGAACGUAGGCUUCUGA